rnacentral:rRNA from 1 species
AAGUGUUUUCCGUGCUGGACCAUGUCCAAGUCCCUUGGAACAGGGUAUCAAAGAGGGUGACAAUCCCGUACUUGACAUGACCACCAGUGCUCUGUGAUACACUUUCUACGAGUCGAGUUGUUUGGGAAUGCAGCUCAAAAUGGGUGGUAAAUUCCAUCUAAAGCUAAAUAUUGGCGAGAGACCGAUAGCGAACAAGUACCGUGAGGGAAAGAUGAAAAGCACUUUGGAAAGAGAGUUAAACAGUACGUGAAAUUGUUGAAAGGGAAACGAUUGAAGUCAGUCGUGUUCAUUGGACUCAGCCGGUUUUCGGUGUAUUUCCUUUGAACGGGUCAACAUCAGUUUUGUCCGGUGGAUAAAGGCAGGAAGAAAGUGGCUCCCUCGGGAGUGUUAUAGCUUUCUGUCACAUACACUGGAGGAGACUGAGGACUGCAGCUCGCCUUUUGGCCGGGGUUCGCCCACGUUCGAGCUUAGGAUGUUGACAUAAUGGCUUUAAACGAC